AGCGAACGCUGGCGGCAGGCCUAACACAUGCAAGUCGAACGAACUCUUCGGAGUUAGUGGCGGACGGGUGAGUAGCACGUGGGAACGUGCCUUUUGGUUCGGAAUAACUCAGGGAAACUUGUGCUAAUACCGAAUGUGCCCUUCGGGGGAAAGAUUUAUCGCCAUUAGAGCGGCCCGCGUCUGAUUAGCUAGUUGGUGAGGUAACGGCUCACCAAGGCGACGAUCAGUAGCUGGUCUGAGAGGAUGACCAGCCACACUGGGACUGAGACACGGCCCAGACUCCUACGGGAGGCAGCAGUGGGGAAUCUUGCGCAAUGGGCGAUAGCCUGACGCAGCCAUGCCGCGUGAAUGAUGAAGGUCUUAGGAUUGUAAAAUUCGUUCACCGGGGACGAUAAUGACGGUACCCGGAGAAGAAGCCCCGGCUAACUUCGUG
rnacentral:rRNA from 1 species